rnacentral:misc_RNA from 1 species
GGGGAAUUUUCCGCAAUGGGCGCAAGCCUGACGGAGCAAUACCGCGUGCGGGAGGAAGGCUUUUGGGUCGUAAACCGCUUUUAUUGGGGAAGAAGAUCUGACGGUACCCAAUGAAUCAGCAUCGGCUAACUCCGUGCCAGCAGCCGCGGUAAUACGGAGGAUGCAAGCGUUAUCCGGAAUUAUUGGGCGUAAAGCGUCCGCAGGUGGCUGGUCAAGUCUGCUGUUAAAGCGUAGAGCUUAACUCUAUAUCGGCAGUGGAAACUGGACAGCUAGAGUACGGUAGGGGUAGCGGGAAUUCCCAGUGUAGCGGUGAAAUGCGUAGAUAUUGGGAAGAACACCAGCGGCGAAAGCGCGCUACUGGGCCUGUACUGACACUGAGGGACGAAAGCUAGGGGAGCGAAAGGGAUUAGAUACCCCUGUAGUCCUAGCUGUAAACGAUGGAUACUAGGUGUUGCGCGUAUCGACCCGUGCAGUGCCGUAGCUAACGCGUUAAGUAUCCCGCCUGGGGAGUACGCACGCAAGUGUGAAACUCAAAGGAAUUGACGGGGGCCCGCACAAGCGGUGGAGUAUGUGGUUUAAUUCGAUGCAACGCGAAGAACCUUACCAGGGCUUGACAUGUCGCGAACCUUGAUGAAAGUUGAGGGUGCCUACGGGAGCGCGAACACAGGUGGUGCAUGGCUGUCGUCAGCUCGUGUCGUGAGAUGUUGGGUUAAGUCCCGCAACGAGCGCAACCCACGUCCUUAGUUGCCAGCAUUCAGUUGGGCACUCUGGGGAGACUGCCGGUGACAAACCGGAGGAAGGUGUGGAUGACGUCAAGUCAUCAUGCCCCUUACGUCCUGGGCUACACACGUACUACAAUGCUAUGGACAAAGAGCUGCGAGACCGCGAGGUUCAGCUAAUCUCAUAAACCAUGGCACAGUUCAGAUUGCAGGCUGCAACUCGCCUGCAUGAAGGCGGAAUCGCUAGUAAUCGCAGGUCAGCAUACUGCGGUGAAUACGUUCCCGGGCCUUGUACACACCGCCCGUCACACCAUGGAAGUUGGCCACGCCCGAAGUCGUUACUCCAACCGCAAGGAGGGGGAUGCCGAAGGCAGGGCUGAUGACUGGGGUGAAGUCGUAACAAGGUAGCCGUACCGGAAGGUGUGGCUGGAUCACCUCCUUUUAGGGAGACCUAACCCAGAGUGUUGAGUAAAAAUGUAAUGACCAACACUGUGAGGUCCACCUAGGUCGGUCAAAGGGUCUUUAUCGAUGGUUCUCAAACUAAUCUAGGUAAGGGAGCAUGGGCUAUUAGCUCAGGUGGUUAGAGCGCACCCCUGAUAAGGGUGAGGUCCCUGGUUCGAGUCCAGGAUGGCCCACCUUGGGGGUUUAGCUCAGUUGGUAGAGCGCCUGCUUUGCAAGCAGGAUGUCAGCAGUUCGAGUCUGCUAACCUCCACUGGAGUGAAGAACUCCGAGUUGUUAGGUCAAGGCAUGUAGCACCUUGUUGGGGGAUGGGAACAUCGAACCUGAAAGGCUGCUAGGUGUAAAUCCUAGCGAGAACCUUGAAAACUGCAUAGUCAUAGAAGUCAGGUAGAAGUAGCGAUUGUUGAGAGACGAUUGUUAUGACACAGACACCAAAAGAGAGAUAAAAGAACGUGGUCAAGCUACGAAGGGCUCAUGGUGGAUACCUAGGCACACAGAG